UACGGAGGAUCCGAGCGUUAUCCGGAUUUAUUGGGUUUAAAGGGUGCGCAGGCGGGGGAUUAAGUCGGCGGUGAAAUUUUGCAGCUCAACUGUAAAAGUGCCUUCGAAACUGGUUUCCUUGAGUGUAGAUGAAGUAGGCGGAAUUUGUGGUGUAGCGGUGAAAUGCAUAGAUAUCACGAGGAACUCCGAUUGCGCAGGCAGCUUACUAGGCCAUAACUGACGCUCAGGCACGAAGGCGUGGGGAUCAAACAGGAUUAGAUACCCCCGUAGUCCCUGA
rnacentral:rRNA from 1 species